UACGGGGGAGCAAGCGUUGUUCGGAUUUACUGGGCGUAAAGGGCGCGUAGGCGGUCAGCACAAGUCAGUUGUGAAAUCUCCGGGCUUAACUCGGAAAGGUCAACUGAUACUGUGCGACUAGAGUGCGGAAGGGGCAACUGGAAUUCUCGGUGUAGCGGUGAAAUGCGUAGAUAUCGAGAGGAACACCUGCGGCGAAGGCGGGUGCUGGGCCGACACUGACGCUGAUGCGCGAAAGCAUGGGGAGCAAACAGG
rnacentral:rRNA from 1 species